UCAUCCCAGUGUUCCUAUGAUGUCAUCCCAGUGCCCAGACACUGGGAUCCAGGAAUUUUGAUUGGACACUGGGUUGGUAAGCAUAAAAGUGUUAUGUAAAAUACAACGUUCUUGAUGGGAUUGUGUGAAAUGCUGGAUCCCAGUGUCUGGGCACUGGGAUGACACCAUAGGAGGCUGCUU
rnacentral:ncRNA from 1 species